GAUGUACUCCCUCCGUCCCAAAAUUCUUGUCUUAGAUUUGUCUAAAUACGGAUGUAUCAAGUCAUAUUUUAGUAUUAGAUACAUCCGUAUCUAGACAAAUGUAAGACAAGAAUUUUGGGACGGAGGGAGUAAGAA
rnacentral:pre_miRNA from 1 species